CAUGAUUUAUCAAAUUUCCGACGCUCCAUGAAGACUCUCGCCCACCACCAGCAGCAGCCAUCCGCAUCAAACAGAUUUCAUUCAGUGUGUGGCUGCUCCGUGGAGAACAACAGGCUACCUCCCUCACUCCUCUGAUGCUGCACAGCUAUGGGACAAAGGAAACAGAAAAAAAGCUUUGAAGCAAGGUUGCCAUCUAACAAAGAGCCAUAAAAUCAACAUCAGCAUGGGAUCAUAAAUUUGUAAUUGAUUACAUGCACACUUUUUUAAUUAUACAGGUAAUUUAUUGUUCCCUCAUAGAUAAUCUCAAGUGUUUGGUAAAGGAAGGUGAUGAUCUUCAGUGUUCAGUCAGGAUCCCACUAUCACAGUCGUUUAGUGGCUCAGAAGCAUAUUAGGGGACAAAUAUUUUGCUGUCUAGGAGGCUUUUUGUGACAGAGCAUCGCUGCUGUAAAUAGAGAUGUGGGAUAAAACAUGCACAUAACUAGAGGGGUCCAAUCUGCCUCGGUCCUACUGGCAGGGCAGUCUUCUCUCCAGCAACCAGCCCUGCAGCAGCCCCACAGUGUCCUCAUGUGGCAUUAGUUGUCGACUGAGGCUCAAACUCCAGCUGCGCCAUGGCUUCGUCUGACAACGAUGAAACUGGGAGCGAUCUGUCCGAGUCCCUGGAGAUCCGCGAGCUCCAGGACCAAUACAUGGACGCAGAGAACUGUUUCAAAUCCAAGAGUUUGCCCAUCCUGAACGGACCCUGCCAGCAGCAGGGCAAGGCCGCCGAGCCCCGGAUGGUCAACGCCACCCACACCUGUGUGGCCGUGGAGGAGGGCAGCGAGCUCCAGCCUAAGACCCCUGACUCCAGCCAGGCGGAGUCGCCCUCCUCCAGGACAGACUUCUCCCUCUCUGUGUCCAGCAUGGUGGGGCUCAGCAGCUCUCUGCCUGUGGAGGGUCACAGGCCUGGAGGCUCUGGAGGCAAAAAGCUUGGUUUCUCUCUAUCCCGCCUUAUCCACAUCCCAGCCAGGAAGUAUGUGCGGGUCAUCCUGAGUGACUCGCGCUGCUUCCUGUUCUGCAUGUGCUACCUGACUUUUAUUCAGUCACUGAUGGUUUCAGGCUACCUGAGCAGCGUCAUCACUACCAUCGAGAAGCGCUACAGUCUGCGUAGCUCCGAGUCUGGCCUGCUGGUCAGCUGCUUUGACAUCGGCAGCUUGCUGGUGGUCGUCUUCAUCUCAUACUUCGGCGGCAGAGGUCAGAGGCCACGCUGGCUGGCUGUAGGUGGUGUUGUGAUUGCUGUAGGGGCAGCGUUGUUUUCCCUUCCCCACUUCAUCUCACCGCCCUACCAGAUCCAAGAGAUGAACUCCUCAGCGGGCCACGAAGGCCUCUGUCAGAGUGUCAACAACAGCGGGCGCGAGCUCGAUGUGACAUCGUGCCCUCGCGACCAGGAGGGCAAUGAGCACAACCUGUACGUGGCGCUGUUCAUCUGUGCCCAGAUACUGGUGGGCAUGGGGUCGACGCCAAUCUACACCCUGGGGCCCACCUACCUGGAUGACAACGUGAAGAAAGAAAACGCAUCCCUCUAUCUGGCCAUCAUGUAUGUAAUGGGCGCCCUGGGACCUGCAGCUGGCUACCUGCUGGGAGGCGUCCUCAUCGGCUUCUACGUUGACCCCAAAACUGUCGUCAACAUCGACCAGAAUGACCCCCGCUUUGUUGGCAACUGGUGGAGUGGCUUUCUCUUGUGUGCCAUAGCUAUGCUUCUGGUCAUCUUCCCCAUGUUUGCCUUUCCCAAAAAGCUGCCUCCACGCCACAAAAAGCGGAAGAAGAAAAAGAUCGCCUCACCGGGUGACGUGUCCAGCGAUGAUGAAGUGAUGAAGGAAAAGUCCAGUAGCAAAGGCCAAAACGUUUCCUCCUCUAUGGGCUUCGGAAAGGACAUUAAAGACCUCCCCAAGGCAGCGCUGAGGAUCCUCAGCAACAUGACCUUCCUGUUUGUCAGCCUGUCCUACACGGCAGAGUGCGCCAUUGUCACCGCCUUUAUCACCUUCAUUCCCAAAUUUAUUGAGUCACAGUUUGGCAUCCCUGCCUCAAAUGCCAGCAUAUACACUGGUGUGAUCAUCGUACCCAGUGCCGGGGUGGGCAUCGUGCUGGGGGGCUACAUCAUCAAGAAGUUGAAGCUCGGUGCGAGAGAGUCAGCCAAGCUGGCCAUGAUCUGCAGCGGGGUGUCUCUGCUCUGCUUUUCCACGCUAUUCAUAGUGGGCUGUGAGAGCAUUAAUCUAGGAGGCAUCAACAUACCCUACACCACUGGGCCGACAUUGACAAUGACCCACAGGAACCUCACCGGCAGUUGCAACGUGAACUGUGGCUGCAGGAUCCACGAGUACGCUCCAGUCUGCGGCUCUGAUGGCAUCACCUACUUCAACCCCUGUCUGGCCGGGUGCAGCACUGUGGGCAACGACAGCACCGGGAUCAGGAACUACACUGACUGUGCCUGCGUGCAGAGCAGACAGGUCAUCACUCCGUCCUCCGGCGGCCAGGUCAACCAGCUCCAGCUGGUCAUUGUCAAAACCUACCUGAAUGAGAACGGCUACGCCAUGUCGGGGAAGUGUGACCGCACAUGUAACACACUCAUCCCUUUCCUCAUCUUCCUCUUCAUCGUCACACUCAUCACCGCCUGUGCCCAGCCCUCCGCCAUCAUCGUCACACUCAGGUCUGUUGAUGAACAAGAGAGGCCUUUUGCUCUUGGGAUGCAGUUUGUCUUACUCCGAACUCUUGGUGGAAGCUGAAUUAGUGAGGAUGACUCCUGCUCCUGUCAUCUCUAAGCUCCUCACACAUCUUUACCUGCACAUGAGGAAAAUCACUCCUGUAGAAUGCAGAUGUUCAGAGGGAGAUGAUGCCACAUCUGGUCCAGCCGAUGGAAGGUCUUGAAGUUCUCUGACUGGCCUCGACUGAAGAUGGUCGUCUCACUGGAUUUAAGGUUCAGAUGCUCAGUAAUAAACUCCACCAAUGUGUCAUCAGGGAAGCUUUAGGUUUAUUGAAUGUUGCUAUGAAGGUUUCGCUGUUUUUCUUUAUGAAUGCAAUGUGCUCCAACUGAAACUUGAAUUAGAACUUAGAAGUAAAUCCUUCCAUCUGAAAGGAUUUAGUUGCAUUAAUAACCUCAUAACGUUCUAAUUUUUAUUCCAGUCUUGGUUGAAAAUAGAAUCUCUGUAUUGAUUCAGGUAAAAACUGAACUUCACAGCAUGUUGAAGCAAAACAACCAGAUGAAAACUGUGAUGGUGUUGGAUUGUCAGACCGUAAUGUUGCAGCUCAAAGCAGCUUUUCUAUCUCAGUUCAUUCUGACAUUCAGCUAUGAAUCAACACAGCAGAUGGUGAUCCAUGCUGUGGAAGUCUCACAUCUCCUGAUUUAAUGGAGCUGCUUUGCACUUUUUACACUGUUUAUUCAUCAACACUUUAUUUAAUAAAAGUCCCAUCUAGUUUUUAUGAGGAAUGUGUUGUUUUAAUUUCUCUGUGAAUAACUGCAGUCUAAUGCAACAGCUGGAGUUGUAACAUCUGUCCUGAUAUUGAUCAUGAAGUAUUGAUCAGAAUACUUAUGGUCAGCAGUCAUCCCUGAAGUUUUACAUUAAAAUCUUUACUUGUGUUGUGAACUUUGGUAAGAAGCAGAAACAUUAGCGUUGCCAUGGAUACAUGAGUGUUAAAUUCUGUCCAUGUUUCCAUUUUGGGAUGCAGUCCAGUUCCAGAAUGUGGAGGAUUUUAGUCUCACAAUCACAGACAACAAAUAUUAUCUGAAAGUCAGGUUAUUGUUGUUUAUCAGCACAAUACAAAAAGAUUAAUGUUAGAAAGAAUCCAGAAUUGGAGCUCAUAUCUUUGGCAGCUGUAAAGUUUCUGUUCCUUCAAAGUUCACAACACAAUGAAUAAAUUCCUAAAACACUCUCAAUGCUGGAGAGCGUUUGAUGCUGAAGCAAUGAUCAGUUUUUCUGUUUCUUCUCUGGAGAUGCACAAUGAGGGACGUCUGCAGAGACUGAGAAAGAGUCUCACCACAUCCUGACAUGAGGAAAAAGACUUUAUUGAAGACUACAAUGAGAAAAACUAUCAGGCAGCAGACGGCAUGCAUUCAAGGCUACAGGAGGAGCCCUACGAGGACGAGCCGGUCCACCUGAUGGCGGCCAGUCGCUGCGGUUCAAAGCCAACACCGACUACGUGGACUUCUACUGGACCACACGGAGGCCUUCAAACCGGACCAACAAGUUCAGCGACUCCCCGACUCGUGGGUCUGAGGACGCCGCCGAGCCUCGGUCCAGCCGGCCUCCUGUCUGUGGGUGUUUGAGUGCUGAGAGGUUUGUGGAUGCAUGUGAACGUGUCUGUGUUGAAACAGCAGCUUUUGACUCAGUAACGCUGGUAAAAACCAAGAGCUCCUUUAUUUGUGACUUCCACUAAAAAAUACUGAUGAAAAUAAGUUUGCCAGGGUUCUGACUGAUAACAGAUUAUUAAAUAAUGAGAAUAACUUUAAAUAUUCCUUUAAACAAUCCUUUUAGGUCUACAUUUCCUUUAUACUGACUUCUUGGUAUUUUGGGUGAAUUAUACCAUUAAGCCCAAUGUUCAAGGGUUCUUCUGGGAAUAUACCAUUAAACCAACCUUUUAGGUAAAUGUUCCAGGAUGUUGGGUAGAAUAUACCAUCAGAUCAACCUUUUAGGUCUACAUUGGAAGAUUUUAGAGUAGAAUAUUACUCCAAACCAUCCUUUAGGUCUACAUUUAAGGUGGAAUACUCCUUUACAUCAAGAUUUUUUGGUCUACAUUGAAAGAUUUUAGGUGAAAUAUUCCUUUGAACGAACAUUUUAAGUUUAUGUUCAAGGAUGUUGGGUGGAAUAUACCAUCAGACCAACCUCCAAGGUCUAGUGUAGUGAAUUUUAGGUGGAAUAUACCGUUAAACUCACCUUUUAAGUUUACAUUAGAGGAUUUUAGGUGGAAUUUUCUUCCAAACCAUCUUUUAGUCUACAUUUAAGGAUGGUAUAUUCUUCCGAACCAACUUCUCAGGUCUACAUUUCAGGUGGAAUAUUCCUCCAUACUAACUUUUUUGGUCUACACUGAAGGAUUUUUUCUAAACCACCCUUUUAGGUCUAUAUUUGAGGUUUCAGGUGGAAUAUUCCUUUUAACCAGCCCCUCGGGUCGGGAUUUUGGAUGGAAUACUCGGUUAAACCACCAUUUUAGGUGCAUGUCCAAGGAUUUUUGGUGGAAUGUUCCUUUAAGGUCGAUGUUUGAGGAACUUGUAGACGGAAUACUUCCUGAAACCAACCUUUUACGUCAACAUUGAAAGAUUUAAGGUGGAAUAUUCCUUUCCAAAUUUCAUGUUUUGAUCAUUAUCAAGUGAGAAACCUCAAUCCAGACUCCUCAUAAUGACAUUUGAGAUUUAUGCUGCUGUUAUUUGUUUAGUCCAGACUAAAUGACAGAAAUCCACAACUGUAAUUUUAUUUCAGGACUCGGUUAUUAAAUGUCAAAACAAUCCAUGUGACUCUAAAAACUCAACAGCUGUACAAACUCUAACAUUAAACUCUCCACAAGGAUCCAAAAUAAGUGGGACUUUUACAUGAGAGCUUUAAUUAUUCUUCAUCUACUUCCUGAAAAGUUUGGUCAAUAAAUAAGACAAAAACUAAUAUUUUCAACUGAACUAAAGACAGACUUUGUGAUUUUUCUGCUCACAUGUUGUGUUGUUGUAAACUUCCUCUUUCAAAUAAAUAUCCUCCUAACCCCCUGGAAACCAGCGUUUGUCCUGUUUUUGUGUUGCUCCUC